GAUGAACGCUGGCGGCGUGCCUAAUACAUGCAAGUCGAGCGAACAGACGAGGGGCUUGCUCCUCUGACGUUAGCGGCGGACGGGUGAGUAACACGUGGAUAACCUACCUAUAAGACUGGGAUAACUUCGGGAAACCGGAGCUAAUACCCGAUCAUAUAUUGAACACGAUGGUUCAACAGUGAAAGACCGUUUUGCUCUCACUUUUAGAUGGAUGCGCGCCGCAUUAGCUAGUUGGUAAGGUAACGGCUUACCAAGGCAACGAUGCGUAGCCGACCUGAGAGGGUGAUCAGCCACACUGGAACUGAGACACGGUCCAGACUCCUACGGGAGGCAGCAGUAGGGAAUUUUCCGCAAUGGGCGAAAGCCUGACGGAGCCACGCCGCGUGCGUGAUGAAGGUCUUCGGAUCGUAAAACUCUUUUAUUAGGGAAGAACAAAUGUGUAAGUAACUAUGCACGUCUUGACGGUACCUAAUCAGAAAGCCACGGCUAACUACGUG
rnacentral:rRNA from 1 species